rnacentral:rRNA from 1 species
GGCGGACGGGUGAGUAACACGUGGAUAACCUACCUAUAAGACUGGGAUAACUUCGGGAAACCGGAGCUAAUACCCGGAUAAUAUUUUGAACCGCAUGGUUCAAAAGUGAAAGACGGUCUUGCUGUCACUUAUAGAUGGAUCCGCGCUGCAUUAGCUAGUUGGUAAGGUAACGGCUUACCAAGGCAACGAUGCAUAGCCGACCUGAGAGGGUGAUCGGCCACACUGGAACUGAGACACGGUCCAGACUCCUACGGGAGGCAGCAGUAGGGAAUCUUCCGCAAUGGGCGAAAGCCUGACGGAGCAACGCCGCGUGAGUGAUGAAGGUCUUCGGAUCGUAAAACUCUGUUAUUAGGGAAGAACAUAUGUGUAAGUAACUGUGCACAUCUUGACGGUACCUAAUCAGAAAGCCACGGCUAACUACGUGCCAGCAGCCGCGGUAAUACGUAGGUGGCAAGCGUUAUCCGGAAUUAUUGGGCGUAAAGCGCGCGUAGGCGGUUUUUUAAGUCUGAUGUGAAAGCCCACGGCUCAACCGUGGAGGGUCAUUGGAAACUGGAAAACUUGAGUGCAGAAGAGGAAAGUGGAAUUCCAUGUGUAGCGGUGAAAUGCGCAGAGAUAUGGAGGAACACCAGUGGCGAAGGCGACUUUCUGGUCUGUAACUGACGCUGAUGUGCGAAAGCGUGGGGAUCAAACAGGAUUAGAUACCCUGGUAGUCCACGCCGUAAACGAUGAGUGCUAAGUGUUAGGGGGUUUCCGCCCCUUAGUGCUGCAGCUAACGCAUUAAGCACUCCGCCUGGGGAGUACGACCGCAAGGUGAAACUCAAAGGAAUUGACGGC